UACGAAGGGUGCUAGCGUUGUUCGGAAUCACUGGGCGUAAAGCGCGCGUAGGCGGCCAAUCAAGUCAGGGGUGAAAUCCUUGGGCUCAACCCAAGAAUUGCCUUUGAAACUGGUUGGCUUGAGUACUGGAGGGGAUAGCGGAAUUCCUAAUGUAGCGGUGAAAUGCGUAGAUAUUAGGAGGAACACCGGUGGCGAAGGCGGGUCUCUGGGCAGUAACUGACGCUGAGGAGCGAAAGCGUGGGGAGCGAACAGG
rnacentral:rRNA from 1 species